rnacentral:misc_RNA from 1 species
GAUGAAGAACGUAGUGAAAUGCGAUACGUAAUGUGAAUUGCAGAAUUCAGUGAAUCAUCGAGUCUUUGAACGCACAUUGCGCCCCCUGGUAUUCCGGGGGGGCAUGCCUGUCCGAGCGUCAUUGCUGCCCUCAAGCACGGCUUGUGUGUUGGGCCUCCGUCCUCCUCCCGGGGGACGGGCCCGAAAGGCAGCGGCGGCACCGCGUCCGGUCCUCGAGCGUAUGGGGCUUCGUCACCCGCUCUUGUAGGCCCGGCCGGCGCUUGCCGACACAUCAAUCUUUUUUCCAGGUUGACCUCGGAUCAGGUAGGGAUACCCGCUGAACUUAAGCAUAUCAAUAAGCGGAGGA